rnacentral:rRNA from 1 species
GACGAACGCUGGCGGCGUGCUUAACACAUGCAAGUCGAACGGAAAGGCCUCUUUCGGGGGGUACUCGAGUGGCGAACGGGUGAGUAACACGUGAGUAACCUGCCCUUGACUUUGGGAUAACUUCAGGAAACUGGGGCUAAUACCGGAUAGGAGCUCCUGCUGCAUGGUGGGGGUUGGAAAGUUUCGGCGGUUGGGGAUGGACUCGCGGCUUAUCAGCUUGUUGGUGGGGUAGUGGCUUACCAAGGCUUUGACGGGUAGCCGGCCUGGGAGGGUGACCGGCCACAUUGGGACUGAGAUACGGCCCAGACUCCUACGGGAGGCAGCAGUGGGGAAUAUUGCACAAUGGGUGGAAGCCUGAUGCAGCAACGCCGUGUGCGGGAUGACGGCCUUCGGGUUGGAAACCGCUUUCGCUCAUGACGAAGCUUUGUGUGACGGUAGUGGGUAAAGAAGCACCGGCUAACUACGUG